rnacentral:rRNA from 1 species
UUGACGGGGACCCGCACAGCGGUGGAUGAUGUGGAUUAAUUCGAUGCAACGCGAAGAACCUUACUACCCUUGACAUGUCCAGAACUUGCCAGAGAUGGCUUGGUGCCCGAAAGGGAACCGGAACACAGGUGCUGCAUGGCUGUCGUCAGCUCGUGUCGUGAGAUGUUGGGUUAAGUCCCGCAACGAGCGCAACCCUUGUCCUUAGUUGCUACGCAAGAGCACUCUAAGGAGACUGCCGGUGACAAACCGGAGGAAGUGGGGAUGACGUCAAGUCCUCAUGGCCCUUAUGGGUAGGGCUUCACACGUCAUACAAUGGUCGGUACAGAGGGUUGCCAAGCCGCGAGGUGGAGCCAAUCCCACAAAGCCGAUCGUAGUCCGGAUUGUUCUCUGCAACUCGAGAGCAUGAAGUCGGAAUCGCUAGUAAUCGCAGGUCAGCAUACUGCGGUGAAUACGUUCCCGGGUCUU